UGGAAGUGCUAGGGUUGGUUGCAGCC
rnacentral:piRNA from 1 species